ACUUGGGGAACUGCACCAAUAUAGAAGCAAUGCUUUUUGUAAGGUACAUAGGCUUGUGUUUACAGGAUUAUCAGCUGGAAUGAUGUUCUAUGCCAAGAGGUGUCCUUAGGUCAGACGUAUUGUCACUUUUUAAACAUUCCCUUUUCUCAAGCUAGCAUGUUGAACCAUGUCUGUAAUCUUACCUUGGAGCCUUCUCCUUUAUAAAUGUCAUGAUUUAGAAGACAGUCUAUGUAACACCUCGUGUUCAGGUCAGUUUAGAGUAUUGGUUUAGUUCCUGUGUGAGACAAAUUAAAAGAAUUAAGUGUGUAUAAUACCUGUGGGUUACUUGCAUCCUAGAAUUGUUACCAUGGUAUUGUGAAUAUUUCGCAUGGUCAAUAUAUGUCAUUAGAACAGGAAUCUCUUACUGAAUUCUUCUUUCUCAACUAUAACUACCUAGAGAAGUCUAGAUCAGGUAUAGCUUUGACUUUUUUGAAUCAUUUUUCUGUGUGAUACAUAGAAUGAUUUCAUACUUAACCAGAGCUUUGAGCUCCCAUUGCAACCCAGGAGCCCUGCAUCUCUGUCAUGCUGUAGCGAAGCUUUUAUAAUUGCAUUUUGUAGGGUCACUAGUGUGCUUUCUGCUCCUUAUGUUCUAGAGUGUCACAAGAGUGUUACAUGGAUUCAUACUACAUUAGAUAUUAAAUGUGUCUCCACCCCAUGAUGGAUGGAAAGAUAGUUUGCUGUUUAAUAACACUGGAUGUUUUCAUACACAGAACACACAUGGUCUUCAAAAAUCUUCAUUCAUUCUAAUACCAGGGCAUUGAGUAGAGUCAUGAGUGUGAUUUUGCUCCUUAUGUUCUAGAUUGUUAUAAGGGUGUGUCGUCGAUUCAUAAUACAUCAGAUAUUAAAUGUGUCCCCAUGGUGGCAAGAAAGAUGGUUUGCUGUUUGAUAACACUGGAUGUUUUCACACAGAGAACAUAUAUGGUUUGCAACAAUAUUCACUCAUUCCGUUACCAGGGAUCCUGACAUGUUCCUCUGGCUUCCGUAGGUAGCAGUCAUACAUCUAGUACACUGAAAUUCCUAAAUAAAUUGAAAAAUGUUUUUUCCAUGAUUCUGUACAGAAAAGUGAUUUGCAGAAAAUAUUUUAUGUAAUACUCUAGCUAUAUAUUCUUACUUCUUUUGAAUUCUGAUUAUACUAUGAGUUGGUCUACAAAACAUUUACCCUAUUUGUUCUUUGUAGUUAGAUUUCUAACUUACAUUAUUUUCAAGAUGGUCUAACCUAAAAUUCUCCUUUUUCUUUGUUUAGCCUUUUGCGACAGAUCCCAGAACCAAACUUUAUACUAUUAAAACAUCUCAUAUGUGUAUUAGUAAUAAUAAAAGAUUCUUCCAUGAAUAAUUUAGACAGUUACAGGUUGUCUCUGAGCAUAGCUCCACAUGUACUGUGGGGUCAGACUUCGAGAGAUUCAUCAUGUGGGAGUGACGUCUUACGAAAGGAAACCCUAGGAUUGCAUUCUUAUGGAGUGGAGUAGAAUAUGUAUUGAUCUAUUUCAGGAAGAUUUGGGAAGGGAGAUUUUUAAUGUAUUUUAAGAAGUCUCUUAUACAAAUCAUGAUUGACAACUAUGAUCAAAUAUUUGGAAAUGAUGAUAUAUUUAGUAAACACAUUGCAAAAGGUCUGAAGACUUAAAGACAUACAAAGAAUCAAUAAAUUAUUCUGGAAAAUCUCCUAUUAUGACAAAAGCCAUAGCUGGACACAACUGGAAAACCAAUGAUAUUGAUGAAAAAUUUAACAUUUCAUAUGCUGCACUGCAGGAAGAAGGUCUUACAG